GACAGAGGGUGCAAACGUUGUUCGGAAUUACUGGGCGUAAAGCGCGUGUAGGCGGCGGUGCAAGUCGGGUGUGAAAGCCCUGGGCUCAACCCAGGAAGUGCAUUCGAUACUGCGCCGCUAGAGUCCCGGAGAGGAUGGUGGAACUCUCGGUGUAGAGGUGAAAUUCGUAGAUAUCGAGAAGAACACCGGUGGCGAAGGCGGCCAUCUGGACGGUGACUGACGCUGAGACGCGAAAGCGUGGGGAGCGAACAGG
rnacentral:rRNA from 1 species